AUUAUCAUUGCAGUCUGUUUCAGAAGAGGCAGUUUUUGCUGAAUCAGGCUGUGACCUAAAUGAGAUUAAAAAAUGAAUUUAUUGGCAUGCCCCAAUUACUAUGGAGAGAAAUACAUUGCCCCAAAAAAAAGAAAGAAAGAAAGAAAGGCAGCCAAAAUAGCAGAUCCCAACAGUUGCCUGUAACAGUUGUGGUUGUAUUACUGUCAUGCAACUAUAGCUUAUAAAAUGGACAUGGGAAAGAGGUUUCUUCUGUGUUAAAUAGCAUGAGCACUAUGGAGGCUAGAAGUGGAGUUUCCUUCUCAUUCUGGGAUCCAAAACAGCAACUAAUGAUGUGCUUUGUUUCCACACUGUAGCAUUAAGGUCUCAGCUUUCAACCUGUCUUGUAACUUUAUAGCAGGGAGGGUCCUGGAAGAGCAGCUGGAGAAGUGGAAGGCAGAAAUCAGCCAAAUGGAAGGGAAGGAAGUUCUUCAAAAUAUUCCCAGAUAGGAUCUCUCUUACACCUAGAAGCCAUGACAGUUUUUCUGCAGCAAGCAGUGAGUUUGAACCCUGGCAGAAUAUUCAUUCAUUCAGUCCACCAGCUAUACGAUGAAGUGGUGCAGUUCCAGAAACCUUUUCUGAAAGACUG